AAUGAACGCUGGCGGCGCGCCUAAUACAUGCAAGUCGAGCGAGAAGACGUAGCAAUACGUUUGUAAAGCGGCGAACGGGUGAGGAAUACAUGGGUAACCUACCCUCGAGUGGGGAAUAACUAGCCGAAAGGUUAGCUAAUACCGCGUACGCUUCUUGGACUUCGGUUCAGGGAGGAAAGCGAUGCCGAGGGUAUCGCGCUCUUGGAUGGGCUCAUGUCCUAUCAGCUUGUUGGNGAGGUAACGGCUCACCAAGGCUUCGACGGGUAGCUGGUCUGAGAGGACGAUCAGCCACACUGGCACUACGACACGGGCCAGACUCCUACGGGAGGCAGCAGUAAGGAAUAUUGCGCAAUGGGCGAAAGCCUGACGCAGCGACGCCGCGUGGGGGA
rnacentral:rRNA from 1 species